AAUGGGGGCAACCCUGAUCUAGCCAUGCCGCGUGAGUGAUGAAGGCCUUAGGGUCGUAAAGCUCUUUCGCCUGUGAUGAUAAUGACAGUAGCAGGUAAAGAAACCCCGGCUAACUCCGUGCCAGCAGCCGCGGUAAUACGGAGGGGGUUAGCGUUGUUCGGAAUUACUGGGCGUAAAGCGCGCGUAGGCGGAUUAGAAAGUUGGGGGUGGAAUCCCGGGGCUCAACCCCGGAACUGCCUCCAAAACUGCUAGUCUAGAGUUCGAGAGAGGUGAGUGGAAUUCCGAGUGUAGAGGUGAAAUUCGUAGAUAUUCGGAGGAACACCAGUGGCGAAGGCGGCUCACUGGCUCGAUACUGACGCUGAGGUGCGAAAGUGUGGGGAGCAAACAGGAUU
rnacentral:rRNA from 1 species